UCUCUCUCUCUCUCUCUCUCUCUCUCUCUCUCUCUCUGUCUCUCUCUCUGUCUCUCUCUCUGUCUCUGUCUCUGUCUCUGUCUCUCUCUCUCUCUCUCUCUCUCUGUGUGUGUGUGUGUGUGUGUGUGUGUGUCUGUUUUGCACGCUGUGAUAGCUACUCUGGGUUUUUACCUUGACUACAUCUAGAAUGAACUACAAUCCAGAAGUGAAAUACACACCUGUGAGAAAUUCUUGCUUGCUUGAAAGUGGGUAAAUCCUCUUCUAGUCCAGUCCUUUGAGAUAGGAGGAUACACACCUUCAAUUUAAAUCUUGAGGUAGAAGGACACAGGCCUUUAAUCCUGGAUCUUGAGUAAGAAGACACAACUUUAAUCUUAAGCCAUAUAAGGAUGUAGAAGGAAGUUCUUGCUCUUUGCCUGCUUCCCCUUGCCUUGAUAGCCAUCCACUCCUUCGCUGGCAUUGGAGCCUACUUCAGGAUUCCAGAAUAUAUAGAAAGCCAGUUGAGACAUCCAGACAUCCAGCCUUGUGGAUUGAGCAACGAGAUUCUUGGACUUUUCAUUUACAGCCAGCCAUUGUCAAAUUAGGUGGACUGCAGACUCUCUCCCUCAGUGGGCCUCUCCACGUCCUAUUGAUCCUUCUGACUGCUGGCCAGUAAAUUUAGCUCUGCAUCCUUCACCAUUAAGAGGACAGAGGGAAAUGCAGCUUUCCUCAGAAAAGCCUGGUACCUGGCACGGCACAGGGCAGCAUCAUUCCCAUCGUGAUAACACCUGCGCACGGCUCCUUUCUGUUGUUUGAAGAAGGCGUAGCUUGUAUUUGGUCUGGACAGAUUGCUCAAUUACUAAAUUGCUUGCCUUGCAAACACGGAGACCUGACAACCUCCAAUCCCAGGGCCCACAGACGGAAAGCCAGGCAUGAAGAUGUGCAGAGACACAUCCAGAGGUGGAGCCAGGACCAAGGACUUGUUAUUUUGGAAUAGAGGAUCUAUAUCUGUGUUGACAGAAAAAAAGAAGAGGCUUUGGACCCCAUCCAGAGUCAUAUGGAUCAGAUAUGACAAGGGAAGAGCCCCUGAAGAACUAAAAAAAUUCAAGAGAAUCCAAUAAAGAUUCCUUGUGCUAUCCUUCACAUUGCAUGAAUAAAGACUUGUUACAAUUGGUUAUUAAUAAAAUUAACUCAUAA